CGGCAGGUCAGUAUGCCCCGAAACCCUCGGGCCACACGCGGGCUGCAAUGGUAAGUACAAUGGGUACCAAUUCCGAAAGGAGGUGGCAAUCUCGCAAAACUUACCUCAGUUAUGAUUGAGGGCUGAAACUCGCCCUCAUGAAUAUGGAAUCCCUAGUAACCGCGUGUCAUCAUCGCGCGGUGAAUACGUCCCUGCUCCUU
rnacentral:rRNA from 1 species